CACACACUACAAAGGCCUGACUGGAGAUUUGCCUGAUCUAUCCGUCCUUCAGAUGACAGCGGCUCACUUCAAGAGCAGGUGAAGCAAGUUGGGACAAUGUUGAAGACAUUUGCUCGCACUGGGCAAUCAGGUGCAGAUCAAACCCUAAUGCUGCGACGUCUUGGAAUUUGGCGAUGUUGUGCGUAGCAUGGACGACAAAAUGCUAUGCUGCAACGUUUCAGUGCCAAUGUGUCUGUUGGAGAGUUAUCCCUGCCAGGGGAUCUGUUACUCCCCCCUAGACACCCAGGAAGAUUUGGCGUUGCUUGACAACAGUUUGAGGCAGGAUAAAGAGCUCCAGCAACGAUUUCUUCGGUUUUUGGCAAUCAAAUGUGGGAGGGACCUAAAGACAACCA